rfam:Salmo salar isolate Sally breed double haploid chromosome ssa19, whole genome shotgun sequence.
UGAAUGCACUAACUGUAAGUCGCUCUGGAUAAGAGCGUCUGCUAAAUAACUCAAA